rnacentral:rRNA from 1 species
AGAGUUUGAUUCUGGCUCAGGAUGAACGCUAGCGACAGGCCUAACACAUGCAAGUCGAGGGAAAGGGUAGCAAUACCUAAAACCGGCGCACGGGUGAGUAACGCGUAUGUAACCUGCCUACAACAGGGGGAUAGCUUUCGGAAACGGAAAUUAAUACCGCAUAAGACCACGCUCUCGCAUGGGAGCGUAGUAAAAUUUACGGAGGUUGUAGAUGGGCAUGCGUGACAUUAGCUAGUUGGUAAGGUAACGGCUUACCAAGGCAACGAUGUCUAGGGGUUCUGAGAGGAAGGUCCCCCACACUGGUACUGAGACACGGACCAGACUCCUACGGGAGGCAGCAGUGAGGAAUAUUGGUCAAUGGGCGCAAGCCUGAACCAGCCAUGUCGCGUGCAGGAUGACGGCCCUAUGGGUUGUAAACCGCUUUUGUACGGGAAGAAAAAAGAUUACGUGUAAUCUAUUGCCGGUACCGUACGAAUAAGGAUCGGCUAACUCCGUGCCAGCAGCCGCGGUAAUACGGAGGAUCCGAGCGUUNUCCGGANUUUAUUGGGNUUUAAAGGGUGCGUAGGCGGGUUAUUNAGUCAGUGGUGAAAGUUUGACGCUCAACGNUUAAAAUUGCCAUUGAUACUGAUAGUCUUGAGUACAGUUGAGGUAGGCGGAAUGUGGUGUGUAGCGGUGAAAUGCAUAGAUAUACCACAGAACACCGAUUGCGAAGGCAGCUUACUAAAGUGUCACUGACGCUGAUGCACGAAAGUGUGGGGAUCAAACAGGAUUAGAUACCCUGGUAGUCCACACUGUAAACGAUGAUCACUCGUUGUUUGCGAUAUACCGCAAGUGACCAAGAGAAAUCGAUAAGUGAUCCACCUGGGGAGUACGUUCGCAAGAAUGAAACUCAAAGGAAUUGACGGGGGCCCGCACAAGCGGAGGAACAUGUGGUUUAAUUCGAUGAUACGCGAGGAACCUUACCUGGGUUUAAAUGGGGAGUGACAGGCUUGGAAACAGGCCCUUCUUCGGACACUCUUCAAGGUGCUGCAUGGUUGUCGUCAGCUCGUGCCGUGAGGUGUCGGGUUAAGUCCCAUAACGAGCGCAACCCACGUCGUUAGUUGCCAUCAGGUAGUGCUGGGCACUCUAACGAGACUGCCGGUGUAAACCGCGAGGAAGGUGUGGAUGACGUCAAAUCAGCACGGCCCUUACAUCCAGGGCUACACACGUGUUACAAUGGACAGUACAGAGGGCCGCUACCGGGUGACCGGAUGCCAAUCUCGAAAGCCGUUCUCAGUUCGGAUCGAAGUCUGCAACCCGACUUCGUGAAGCUGGAUUCGCUAGUAAUCGCGCAUCAGCCAUGGCGCGGUGAAUACGUUCCCGGGCCUUGUACACACCGCCCGUCAAACCAUGGGAGUCUGGGGUACCUAAAGUCUGCAACCGCAAGGAGCGGCCUAGGGUAAAUCAGAUGACUGGGGUUAAGUCGUAACAAGGUAGC